rnacentral:tRNA from 1 species
GCCUGGCUGGCUCAGUCAGUGGAGUAUGAGAUUCUUGAUCUCGUUGUUGUGGGUUUGAGCCCCAUGUUGGGUG